rnacentral:rRNA from 1 species
UUAGGAAUUUUGGGCAAUGGGCGAAAGCCUGACCCAGCAACGCCGCGUGGGUGACGAAGGCCUUCGGGUUGUAAAGCCCUUUUCUGGGGGAAGAUGAUGACGGUACCCCAGGAAGAAGCACCGGCUAACUACGUGCCAGCAGCCGCGGUAAUACGUAGGGUGCAAGCGUUGCCCGGAUUUAUUGGGCGUAAAGGGCGCGCAGGCGGCCACGCGCGUCCGCUGUGAAAUCGCUCGGGCUCAACUGAGCGGGGACGGCGGAAACGGCGUGGCUGGAGCAAGCUAGGGGGCAGUGGAAUUCCCGGUGUAGUGGUGGAAUGCGUAGAUAUCGGGAGGAACACCAGUGGCGAAGGCGACUGCCUGGAGCUUUGCUGACGCUGAGGCGCGAAAGCGUGGGGAGCGAUCCGGAUUAGAUACCCGGGUAGUCCACGCCGUAAACGAUGCGGACUAGGUGUCGGGGGUAUCGACCCCCUCGGCGCCGCAGCUAACGCACUAAGUCCGCCGCCUGGGGACUACGGCCGCAAGGCUAAAAACUC